CUUCGCGUAGCUCAGUUAGUUAGAGCGUCGCACUAGAUAAGCGAACGUCACGGGUUCAAAUACCGUCGUGGAGC